rnacentral:rRNA from 1 species
AUUGAACGCUGGCGGCAGGCCUAACACAUGCAAGUCGAGCGGAGCGGCGGACGGGUGAGUAAUACCUAGGAAUAGGCCUGGUAGUGGGGGAUAACGUUCGGAAACGGACGAUAAUACCGCAUACUAGCAGAUGAGCCUAGGUCGGAUUAGCUAGUGGGUGAGGGAAUGGCUCACCAAGGCUAGGAUCCGUAACUGGUCUGAGAGGAUGAUCAGUCACACUGGAACUGGGACACGGUCCAGACUCCUACGGGAGGCACCAGUGGGGAAUAUUGGACAAUGGGCGAAAUCCUGAUCCAGCCAUGCCGCGUGUGUGAAGAAGGUCUUCGGAUGUUAAAGCACUUUAAGUUGGGAGGCGUUACCGACAGAAUAAGCACCGGCUAACUCUGUGCCAGCAGCCGCGGUAAUAC